rfam:Brugia pahangi genome assembly, scaffold: BPAG_contig0000387
AAAAAGGCUUUUCUAAAAGCUUUCUUAUAAAAAAAAAAAGAGGAAAU